rnacentral:rRNA from 1 species
GCACCACAAGAACGCGUGGAGCAUGUGGCUUAAUUUGGCUCAACGCGGGAAAUCUUACCGGGUCCGGACACACUGAGGAUUGACAGGCAAUAUCUCGACUGUUUAAUAAUAACAGCCGUUUAUUAAUAAACGGUUUAUUAAACAGAUCGGGUGUUAAAUAUGCUAGUCCUUUCAUGAUUAUGUGAUAGGUGGUGCAUGGCCGUUCUUAGUUCGUGGAGUGAUCUGUCUGCUUAAUUGCGUUUCACUAAGGGCCCAUAAAUUCAAGGUAUGUUAGCAAUCGUCGCUCUAUGGACCCCUUAUUUCGGUUUAUUAAUAAACUGUUAUAAGCGCGCGUCUUGUUUAAAGAGUUUAAGACACUGCGCAUGCUGUUGGGCUCUGAAAGCAACGAACGUGACCGCAACGUCUUGUUGCCUUAAUCAAGUCGGCUGUUUAAUCUGUUUAAUUAAACAGACAGACAGCAGUCAUUAUAUGGCUUAUCCGAGGCUAUUUAAAACUAGACGAACCGCUGUUUCUUUUCUUAAACCAGAGGAAGGUUGCGGCAAUAACAGGUCUGUGAUG